ensembl:lncRNA
CCCCCCCCCCCCCCCCCAAACCGUUCUCGAUCAUUCUAUCCUACUUACUGAAGUUACCUAGUCUUAAUAAACAGUUAUAUAUUAUUUCUAGUAACAUUUAAUGCUCCAAUAGCGACGUAUUGGGUGCUGUACAGCUGCAUGUUGGGAUAGCUAGAUGUCUAAACAACUGAAGCGUUGGUUGCUUUGUGUUGUGAGUUUGUUAAACUGCAGAAAAUGGUACACUUCUGCUGCCAUGCUAACCUUCACAAGAAGGCAAAAAGGUUAAAAGUAGGCUGGAGUCACGGUAAUCGUAUUUGGCCGUUUAUUUUGAUAGAGAAAUCUUAAGGCUGUUGGUCAUACUGACAGACUGUAAUUACCCCGACGCAUGCAUGUGUGAAGACAUUUUAAACGUUAUGCACAGAGACUGCGGAGGUAACAACAAGAUUCGCAUCUGAGCGUUGUCUCAAACGUGGACACCUUGAUCAGUGCAGCUCGCUAUCAGCACGCUGAGGAGCUGUAGAGAGCAUCUCGGAGCAUGUCUGAUAGCCAGCCAGUCUCUGUUUAAUUCUGCACAGAGACUGAGUCAGACUCCAGAACCAGACCACAGCAGGAUUAGGGUGUCAAAAUGACCAGACGAAAACCUGGAAAACGAUGGAGGAGGACCAGUAAUGAAGAUGGCUCAAAUAAACGACCAAGAAGGAUUUCACAAUUGUCAUCUCUUUUUGCAGCCACUAAUGUUCAUGUGGAGACUGAUGAGCAAUAUUUAAGUAGGGAAGCACAGCAGAAGGGUUUGCCUCCUGGAGGAGACCAAAACACUACACUUGAAAAGGAACCUAUCCAACCACCAGAUAUCCAUGCAGGAUGUGCCCCACUCUCUCUGAACUAUCAAGUCUCUCACCGAUUGCCAGCACAAAGCGUGGUACAAGAGAUUGUUUCAACUAUUGACUCUGUCAAAGACUGUGAAGAACCAACUUCCACAUCAGUCAUCAGAGAUCCUCCUGAUGACAUAAUAACCGAACUACAUAGCAAUGCUGAGUAUGCUCCAUCUCAUUCAUUUGAGGAAGAUGUGGGGGAUUGGACGUAUGAUGAUGCCAUAGCUGAAUUUUACAUACAUAUGACCAAAGAUGAUAGUUUCUGUGUGGAAAACCAUGAUUUGUGUAGGACUAAACUAUAUGGAGCAUCUAAUAAACUUCAACUGGACACAGUUCACCACUCUGCUUUGGAAAGAUGUGCUGGUCACUGCAUCAAUUCUAAAACAGUAAGGGUCUUUCACAGGGCACAAGUUAAGAGGAAUUAUCUCACAUCAAAACACUAUGGGAAAGGCAAUAGAAGAAACAAUUUCACAGUUGUUUUUUCUAGUGAAGGACAGAUAAAAUAUGGAAAGAUAGAUUUCUUCUUUAUCACAGAACAAUCCUGUGACAAAUGGGUUCUUGUUCAUGAAUUAAAAGAUGCAGGUUUUUCUUUGCUGCAAGAUAGUAGAACGAAUGGAACAUGCAGUCAUGUUGUUCCACUUGUGGAAACUUCUGUCAGAACAGUGGUUCCCUUGGAUUGUAUUUUGGGUAAAGUUGCUUACCUUGACAUCUAUGCCUGGCAUAGUGUUUGUAGCUCAUUUACCAAAUACACUUGA